rnacentral:rRNA from 1 species
GAUGAACGCUGGCGGCGUGCCUAAUACAUGCAAGUCGAGCGAACAGACGAGGAGCUUGCUCCUCUGACGUUAGCGGCGGACGGGUGAGUAACACGUGGAUAACCUACCUAUAAGACUGGGAUAACUUCGGGAAACCGGCGCUAAUACCGGAUAAUAUAUUGAACCGCAUGGUUCAAUAGUGAAAGACGGUUUUGCUGUCACUUAUAGAUGGAUCCGCGCCGCAUUAGCUAGUUGGUAAGGUAACGGCUUACCAAGGCAACGAUGCGUAGCCGACCUGAGAGAGUGAUCGGCCACACGGGAACUGAGACACGGUCCAGACGCCUACGGGAGGCAGCAGUAGGGAAUCUUCCGCAAUGGGCGAAAGCCUGACGGAGCAACGCCGCGUGAGUGAUGAAGGUCUUCGGAGCGUAAAACUCUGUUAUGAGGGAAGAACAAAUGUGUAAGUAACUAUGCACGUCGUGACGGUACCUAAUCAGGAAGCCACGGCUAACUACGUG